AUUGAACGCUGGCGGAAUGCUUUACACAUGCAAGUCGAACGGUAGAGGGGGCAACCCCUCGAGAGUGGCGAACGGGUGAGUAUUAUAUCGGAACGUGCCCAGUCGUGGGGGAUAACGUAGCGAAAGUUACGCUAAUACCGCAUACGAUCUAAGGAUAAAAGCGGGGGAUCGCAAGACCUCGCGCGAUUGGAGCGGCCGAUAUCAGAUUAGGUAGUUGGUGGGGUAAAGGCUCACCAAGCCAACGAUCUGUAGCUGGUCUGAGAGGACGACCAGCCACACUGGGACUGAGACACGGCCCAGACUCCUACGGGAGGCAGCAGUGGGGAAUUUUGGACAAUGGACGCAAGUCUGAUCCAGCCAUUCCGCGUGCAGGAUGAAGGCCCUCGGGUUGUAAACUGCUUUUGUACGGAACGAAAAGGUUUCCAUUAAUACUGGGAGCUCAUGACGGUACCGUAAGAAUAAGCACCGGCUAACUACGUGCCAGCCGCCGCGGUAA
rnacentral:rRNA from 1 species